CAGUUUGCACUGUGUUCUCGUGGCUCAGCACGACGCCAAAACCCUCGGGUAAACCUUUGCACCUCUUGCGGCGCGGUGCUGCGUAAACUUGACUGUGGUAUCUUUUCCGGAAUCUUUUCGACAGAAAGCCGUUCUAGUGCAACACUUGUAGGCUGCUGCACAUGUUUGUGCGCAGUGGAUAGCGAAACUCGGGUACACACGGCGUUGCUGUCAGACGAUCCACCAGGAAGCGGAUGGCUCCUACUUCCCUACUCUGAUAUGGAACCUCUAGGCGUUAUGUGCAUGUAGAUUUUGUCUGUAUCAGGGGGCAGAGCCCUUCAUUCGUUUCGCUCGCCGGGAAGGUCCUCGUCUUGCUCCUCGUUUUUCCCUCUCGCAGGAAAGGGAAAAGCGUGCUGAGCCGAAGCCGGGAAAAACGGUCUGCCACAGACGAGGUCUGCACACGGAUUCGCAUGUGCGCACAGAGCGGGCACUUUUACACGGAAAAAAAGGGCGACAACCUUUUGCAACCUUUUGAUAACAUAGGUCUUCCAAGUUGGUUUGUGGGUCUCCGCCUGCGCUCAGAAAGGAAGGCCACACAUUCUAGAUCGAUAUCUCAGUGUUCACCGGUUGUUCUGCGAAAGUAUUGAUCUACCAUCACAAGUGUCCGUGUGGAGAUCGCGAUGUUCAAAAGAAAACGCAUUCCGAAUGUGCAAGUUCUGAGUCGUUUUGACGCAGAAAGUGGACGUAACCUCGUUUUUUGCCUCUGAGGUUUUUGAGUUCUUUUGGCAUUCUGUAGUUCCCCUUGUUUGGUUUCAUUGUCGCAUGGAGUCUCUCCGAGAGUGAAACCGUGUCCACACGUUUUUAUCAAAUCCCUUGGUUCACGCGUGAAGAGGCGCGUCGCCAUUCGGCAGCUCGGUUGCUUUUUAGACAUGUUUUUUCGCGGUCAUCUCUUGCCAUGCUGUAUUUUUUGUAUGGAAGCGUUUUCAUCCGCGUCGACAGAAUCGGUCUUACUUCAACGAAAUGAGACUGUGUUCCAUACUUUCCUCUGCGUAAAUGUUUUCCUCGAGAAAACCUUUGUGUUCCGCUCUAGUCUUCCUUCAGUCAGUUUUAUGUAUAGAGGAUACAGUCCCGAUUUCCUCUUGGGGAAAUCCUUGCUCAAAAAUUUCAACUUUUUAUAGUCUGCGACACUAGACUCGGCUCGACUAGAGCUUUCCGUUUGCCGGCCCGGCAAUUGAGAUUCAGGAGACCAAACCGGCGAAAAAAGAGGGAAAACCGUGCAAGAGAGGGCCAGAGAAAGUAAAUGAGCGUCGGUG
rnacentral:lncRNA from 1 species